rnacentral:ncRNA from 2 species
UAACUUUGCAGCGCGAAUGGUACAGCGCGUCAGAAUGUUGACAAACUGUUGAAAAGGGAAAGCCGUGAGAAUCGGCUGCAGUACCCGCUGCUGUGAGUCCGCCGACAUCGCUUCCGCAAAAGCCACUGUGGCAGCUACCGCCAUGGGAAGGCCGGAAGAUAAGAGGGACAAGCCAGAAGACCUGCCAUGACGCCUCCGUGUCA